rnacentral:snRNA from 1 species
AUACUUACCUUGUUUGGGCUGGCGCGAUCAAAAAGGCGCUUCGCCGUGGAAAGGCUCCUACAUUGCACAGCGUGGAGAGCCUUGCCACUCAACAUCCUUCGGGGUUUUGACAGGCAUAUUCUUUGGCACCUCUCCUGGACUCAGGUCCUACCUUUCUUUUCAUUGUCUCUGCGCUUUAUGUGCUGUUGCAAAGAAG